CACCUGCUGCUGUAAGAAUAUGUUUGACAUUUAGUUGGUUCCUAAUUAAACAACCCAAUAUCAAACAUAUCACACAGAAGCAGGCA
rfam:Pan troglodytes isolate Yerkes chimp pedigree #C0471 (Clint) chromosome 1, whole genome shotgun sequence.